UCGUUCUAUCUCGAUGGUGCUACCUCAGUCUCUCUCAACCGCUGUGCUCCUUCUCUCAACCCCUACACCCCAUCGUGCCGCCACCGUCCCUGGCGCGCCGCUGCCGCUCUUGUUUUUCAUAGUCCAACACUUUGGCUCAAGGUUCUUGGCCGCAGAACUGAGGUCAGUGGUUCUCCAUCCUCGAUCUGUUAACGCUGAGGAAGGCCAGCGACUCCAAUUUCUCCUCCACGCCUUCCAAACGCAUCCUUGCGAGAAGGCCUCGCCUCUUCAUCCUCCUCCCCUGCACAUUGGCCCCUCACGGUGGUGGAAGAUGGGUCGAAUUUACCGAUAAAAUAGUUGCUAAGAGGGUUGCCAAUAUGUUAAAUGGUGAACAGAUAGAGUGAUCGGCUGCCGGAUGUUACGACGAUCGACGGCGGGCUGGAUGGGGAAGAGAAGAGGAACGGGCUGAUGCACGUUGAGGGGAUUCCGGCUGGGCUUCCGCGGCUGCACACGCUCCGUGAAGGAAAAUCUACGAAUACUGGUUCCUUUAAGAGGAAUAUUUUAAGACCAACUUCUCCCAAAUCUCCUGUUGCAAGUGCUAG